GACGGAGGAGGCUAGCGUUGUUCGGAAUUACUGGGCGUAAAGGGCGCGUAGGCGGCCUGCUAAGUCGGACGUGAAAGCCCGGGGCUCAACCCCGGAUGUGCGUUCGGGACUGGUGGGCUUGAGGUUGGAAGAGGAUGGUGGAAUUCCCAGUGUAGAGGUGAAAUUCGUAGAUAUUGGGAAGAACACCGGUGGCGAAGGCGGCCAUCUGGUCCAUACCUGACGCUGAGGCGCGAAAGCGUGGGGAGCAAACAGG
rnacentral:rRNA from 1 species